rnacentral:lncRNA from 1 species
AGGCAGUAAUAAAAAGAAGCAGCUAGUCUUACACUCGUGAUCACCUCUCGUUUCUGGAGUCGUCAUUUUGAAUUAAUCAGUAGCUGGUUUGUUCCUGAAAGGAUCAGAAUAUUUCCU